rnacentral:rRNA from 1 species
AGUGAACGCUGGCGGUAGGCCUAACACAUGCAAGUCGAACGGCAGCACAGUAAGAGCUUGCUCUUACGGGUGGCGAGUGGCGGACGGGUGAGGAAUACAUCGGAAUCUACUUUUUCGUGGGGGAUAACGUAGGGAAGCUUACGCUAAUACCGCAUACGACCUACGGGUGAAAGCAGGGGAUCUUCGGACCUUGCGCGAUUGAAUGAGCCGCUGUCGGAUUAGCUAGUUGGCGGGGUAAAGGCCCACCAAGGCGACGAUCCGUAGCUGGUCUGAGAGGAUGGUCAGCCACACUGGAACUGAGACACGGUCCAGACGCCUACGGGAGGCAGCAGUGGGGAAUAUUGGACAAUGGGCGCAAGCCUGAUCCAGCCAUACCGCGUGGGUGAAGAAGGCCUUCGGGUUGUAAAGCCCUUUUGUUGGGAAAGAAAAGCAGCAGGUUAAUACCCCGCUGUUCUGACGGUACCCAAAGAAUAAGCACCGGCUAACUUCGUG